UACAGGGGUCCCAAGCGUUGUUCGGAUUCAUUGGGCGUAAAGGGUGUGUAGGCGGCGCCGUAAGUCAGGUGUGAAAUCUCGGGGCUUAACUCCGAAACUGCAUUUGAUACUGCGGUGCUUGAGGACUGGAGAGGAGACUGGAAUUUACGGUGUAGCGGUGAAAUGCGUAGAUAUCGUAAGGAAGACCAGUGGCGAAGGCGGGUCUCUGGACAGUUCCUGACGCUGAGACACGAAGGCCAGGGGAGCAAACGGG
rnacentral:rRNA from 1 species